CCGGAGGAAGUGGGGAUGACGUCAAGUCAUCAUGGCCCUUACGGCCUGGGCUACACACGUGCUACAAUGGUCGGUACAAAGGGUUGCCAAGCCGCGAGGUGGAGACUAAUCCCAUAAAACCGAUCGUAGUCCGGAUCGCAGUCUGCAACUCGACUGCGUGAAGUCGGAAUCGCUAGUAAUCGUGAAUCAGAAUGUCACGGUGAAUACCGGUUCCCGGGCCUU
rnacentral:rRNA from 1 species